ensembl:lncRNA
AUGCAAGACAACAGUUGCGCAGAGGCCUGGCCGUCUGCUCUUCCUGAACAGCUUGGAGAGGUGAGGCGCGCAGGGCUGCAGGCUUCGCGGUCACUCCUGGGCCCGGAUGUUGUUUCCCAUCUUGCUGGCUCAGUACCUCAGGCGCGAGUUGGAUGUUCAGUAUUCCAGCGGUUGCGGCUGGAGCUUGGCUGUGCUCCUGGCAUCCUGAGAGUCUGGGAAACCUCAGCCCCCGCGGCUCCGAAGGCAAACAUGGCGGGCUCGGAGCAUGCGCACGGCCCCUGCGCAACGCGGCGAAAUAGGGCCUCGGGGAGAAGCGCCUGGAGCCAAGGGCCCGCCCCGCGCACGCGCAGAGGUCGGGCUCUCUCGGUGCACCGCGGUCCUGCCUCCAGGUUGCCCUUGAUGCCCUGGACGCCGCGCUCGUCCGGCACCGCUGACCCGUCCGGCGCCCUGCCCGCUCAGUUCCCUUCCUUCUUAUCUCUGCACCCCUGCGCGUGCGUUUCCGGUCUCCUUUGCCUCACUUGGCCCCGGCGACUCUGUUGUCUACUUUUCUGAGCCCUCGCCUCCCAUCUGUGCGGUGUCCUCCGCGUAGUGUCUGUGGCCCCGGACUGUGCUCUCUCCCUCGUUUCCAGUGACUGGCUGGUGAUGUCGCCCCGUAAGUGCUGAGCUAAGCCAGAAACCCCAGGCCGUCUCUGACUUCUCCCCAACAUCCAGGUCUUUUCAAGACGGGUUCCACCCACCCAGCACUUUAGGUGCCUCCCCACCCCAGAGCCAUCAUCCAGGACAGGACUCCUCCAGCAUCCUGGAAUCCUCUACCUUUAAAAAAUUUUUUAUUUUCCAAAAAAAAACCGAUCUGAACAUGCCACCUCCUGGAUGAUAGCUGUUCGUUUCGUGGCAGAACUCUCGGCAAGAACACUCGCGAGCCCGGCGUGGACCUCGGCCCCCUCUCCUGCUGCUGUCUGUCCCUCGCACUGCAUGCCAGACACACCAACUUCUUACUAUGUUUAGAGGAGGCUUUUCUGCUUUUGCGCAUACCAUUUUCUUUUUUCUCCCCAAAAUGUCCUUCUCAUUUUCUCUAGCUAAGAUCUAUUCUUAUUUUGCAACUGUUUUAUGAAGUUUUCUGGAUUUUCUCAAGUUGAAGUCACUGUGUCUCUGUGUGCCCAGCUAAAUAUUGGCUGUGUCUCUAUCAUGACAUCUAACCCCACACUGAGUUUAAAAAAAAAAAAUGCUUUGCAUGACAGAAUAAUUUAUAAAUGGCAAAGCAUUUUUCACAGACUUUCUCUCCAUGGUGAGUUGGAAAAAGCAGAGAUAUGAAAGAGCUUGUGUUCCAGGGCACUUCAGUGGUGGUUCUAUUUUGGUCAUUUUUGAUCCCCAUGUACAGUUAUCUACACCUUUAGCAACAAGGAAAGUGUGUCAAACGUCCUGCCACUUCGGAGGAUAAGAGCCUGGGCAGAGUGCUUGAUGAGAAUGGACGGCCAACUCUGUUCUCCAAAGUGAGAGCCUUGAAUUAAAGACAGAAGGGCCCCGGACUCUUGGAGCUAGGAUAUUUUUUUGCUAAG